CUACGGAGGGUGCAAGCGUUAAUCGGAAUUACUGGGCGUAAAGCGUGCGUAGGUGGUUUGUUAAGUUAGAUGUGAAAGCCCCGGGCUCAACCUGGGAACUGCAUUUGAAACUGGCAUACUAGGGUAUAGGAGAGGAAAGUGGAAUUUCAGGUGUAGCGGUGAAAUGCGUAGAUAUCUGAAGGAACAUCAAUGGCGAAGGCAGCUUUCUGGACUAAUACUGACACUGAGGUACGAAAGCGUGGGUAGCAAACAGGAUUAGAAACCCUAGUAGUCC
rnacentral:rRNA from 1 species